rnacentral:rRNA from 1 species
AUUGAACGCUGGCGGCAGGCCUAAUACAUGCAAGUCGAACGUGUGGCGGACUGGCGAGUAAUGUCUGGGAAACUGCCUGAUGGAGGGGGAUAACUACUGGAACCGGUAGCUACUACCGCAUACCAUCAGUUGUGCUCUGGUGGGAUUGGCUUGUUGGUGGGGUAACGGCUCAUCAGGGCGACGAUACCUAGCUGGUCUGAGAGGAUGACCCGCCACACUGGAACUGAGACACGGUCCAGACUCCUACGGGAGGCAGCAGUGGGGAAUAUUGCACAAUGGGCGCAAGCCUGACGCAGCGACGCCGCGGGAGUGAAGAAGGCCUUCGGUUUGUAAAGUACUUUCGGCGGAGAGGCGUUACCCGCAGACAAAGCCACGGCUAACUCCGUGCCAGCAGCCGCGGUAAUAC